AGAGAUGCUGGGUCACUUCAGAGCUGUAGCUGAGUUUGGAUACAUAGUGAAUAUGAGGGAAGAACUUCAUCCACUAGCUGCACUGAGUGACCCAGUAUAACUGAGGGGAGAUAAGAGCUCUUUCAACUUCUGCACACUCUUCCAAGUUAAAUACUACAGAAUUUCAGAUUUUUUGAGAAACCAUUUUCAGUUGCUUUCAACUUGUUUUGGAUUCAACUCAUGAUCUUAAUGAUGAAGGACGCCACAACCUAUUAGCAGUCAUCUGAGCCAUCCAGAUCUCUCAAGAGCCUGUUUCAGCAAGUUGGUCAAUGUUCCCGUGUGAUGCAUGCGAAAUAUAUUUUACGAUUUAAGUAUUUUCUGCAUUCAUCAUGUGAAUCAAAUUACAAGGCACUCAA